rnacentral:lncRNA from 1 species
AGAAAACUGAUCCAACUGAGCACUGGGCAGCCCAAAACCGUCCCACAUACUGACCCAAUCAGAUUGCUUGGCUGAUUAUUUAACUUGCAAAAUGGCCCUUGAAUAAUCCUUCAAAAUGCAUUCAAACCCCUCCACUAUUUGUGCCUUUCUAGAUUUGCCCCUACCUUAAAAUAACAUGUUUGAAUUCUUCAAACUUGCCACAUAUGUGGCCAGCCAUGGGGGGACUCUAUGGCUGCUGAUUUUUUCAAAUUUUAGCAGCCAUCUCAACCUAUAAAUACCCCGCUUUGCUGCUCACUUCAAACACAUCUCACCCCUUCUCAUCUCUUCACUUUUC